rnacentral:rRNA from 1 species
GUGAAACCGCGAAUGGCUCAUUAAAUCACACCUAAUCUACUGGAUAGUCAACAGUUACUUGGGUAACUGCGGUAAUUCUGGAGCUAAUACAUGCACAAAGCCGCGAACUUACGUGAGGGGCGCUUUUAUUAGAUCAAAACCAAACGGCUUUAGCUGUUCUCUUGGUGACUCUGAAUAACUUUGGGCUGAUCGCAUAGCCUAGCGCUGGCGACAUAUCCUUCGAAGGUGUGCCCUAUCAACUGUCGACUGUGGCAUAGACGCCCACAGUGGUUUUGACGGGUAACGGGGAAUCAGGGUUCGAUUCCGGAGAGGGAGCCUUAAAAACGGCUACCACAUCUAAGGAAGGCAGCAGGCACGCAAAUUACCCAAUGACCGAAGGUCGAGGUAGUGACGAAAAAUAACGAUACAGGACUCAUCCGAGGCCCUGUAAUCGGAAUGAGUACACUUUAAAACCGUCCCCGAGGAUCUAUUGGAGGGCAAGUCUGGUGCCAGCAGCCGCGGUAAUUCCAGCUCCAAUAGCGUAUAUUAAAGUUGUUGCGGUUAAAAAGCUCGUAGUUGGAUCUCGGCAGUCCGAGGGCGGUUCGCUUGCUAGUGUUACUGCCUUAUGGACUGUAGUUUUGCCAGAGGUCUCGGGGUGCUCUUAACCGAGUGUCUCGUGAUGCUGGCAGGUUUACUUUGAAAAAAUUAGAGUGCUCAAAGCAGGCUUUUACGCCUGAAUAUUCGUGCAUGGAAUAAUAGAAUAGGAAGUCGUUUCUAUUUUGUUGGUUUUCGGAAAUCGACUUAAUGAUUAAUAGGGACAGUCGGGGGCAUUUGUAUUCAAACGACAGAGGUGAAAUUCUUGGACCGUUUGAAGACAAACUACUGCGAAAGCAUUUGCCAAGAAUGUUUUCAUUAAUCAAGAACGAAAG